rnacentral:lncRNA from 1 species
AAUCGUAUAAUGUGUACUGAGUGUUUAUAUGCAUCAUCUUAUUUAAUCCUCACAUCCACCUCCUGAGGUAAGGGCUGUAUUUAUUUUCAUCUUACAGAUGAAGAAACGGAGACUCAAAGAUGCCAAGUAACUUAUUUAUGGUCACACACAUCUACUCUAAAUCCACCAUGCAAUGCAAGUCAAAAUCCCCCCACCUACUUCUUUAUAGGAGAGUGCAUCGAAUGGCAGCUUGUUCUGCACCAGAUAUAGUCUCCACUUACAUAUGUGUGAAUAUGGAUGCACUCUGCUGCGAGCGUGCCCAAGGCAUCAUAGAUGGACGCGUGCACGCUCUCACACUAGUGGUCUUGUUACCACAUGUUUUGACCUUGAGGUAGCCUCUGUUCAUAUUCUAAUGUUUUCAGCCAGGGCUAUAGUAAAAGAAGCUUCUUAUUUCAAAAUAGCCUUGCAGAUCAAACUCUGCACAAUCCGAAAUGCCUGCUCGCUGUUUGGCAGGGGUUAAAUGGCUGUCUCAGGCCAGUGUUGAGUUCACAUUCUAUAAAUGGCUCUUACUCCUUGAUCUGACUCACUGUAUGUAUUACAGCAAAGUCACUUACAGAUCAAUUUAUUUUUAGAAUCUUAAAGAAACAGAUUCAACGGGGAGUGUUUGUUUCUGACCACAGGCUAAUGCGAGGGAAAACAUAUCUUGGUGAGGAGCUAACUUUCCAUUUGAUUCCUCUGCCCACAGCUUUCUGUUAGUGAUAGGCCUUUGCAUGUUGUAUUGAAAUGUUUUGAAUUAUUUAAAUAGCAGAGCGGCAGAAUGUUAUGCCAACAUCUUACAUAAUACUUUUGCGGUGUGCAAGUGGGAGAGCCUUUUGCAUUUUAAGUGAAAUAACAUCAGGAAUUAAUGAGCACAAUUAAUCAUUAUUAUUGAAUGAUUUUAUGAUUGAUUGAUUUUAUUAUUGAUUGAUUUUUUUUUAAUCUUUUUAGGGCCACACUCACGGCAUAUGGAAGUUCCCAGGCUAGGGGUCCAAUCACAGCUGUAACUGCUGGCCUACGCCACAGCCACAGCAACACCAGAUCCUUAACCCACUGAUCAAGGCUAGGGGUCAAAUCGGAGCUGUAGCCACAGGCCUACGCCAGAGCCACAGCAACACAGGAUCUGAGCCGCGUCUGCAACCUACACCACAGCUCACGGCAAUGCCAGAUCCUUAACCCACUGAGCAAGGCCAGGGAUCGAACCCGCAACCUCGUGGUUCCUAGUCGUUAACCACUGAGCCAUGACGGGAACUCCUCACUUCACUCUUUAAGGCAGCCACCUCCCCCGUCAUUCCUAUGUCUUGCAGACUCUGGUAUUACCUCCAACUACUAGAGGCACAGAUGGCAAGAAAGUCAGUGUGUCUGCCACCUAUACACUCACAGUGCUUGGGAGACAUGGAGGAAACUACAGAAAAAAUUCACUCAACCCUGUGACUCUCAGAGUUGACUUAUAUAGUCAAAAAGAAGGGGAUCCUUGUUAGUGGCUGGAGUUAAAAUCCCAAAGCACAGUCAGCCAAAACCUCCUCCAGAUGCGAGUGUGUGGUCACUGGUCAUGCAUUUCUGUUUGCUGAAUUCCAUACAGCCAAGGCAACUGCCUGGCCUCGCUGAAGAUCCACAGGGGAAAAAAGUUAUGUGCGCUAGUACGAAAAAACAUGCAAGCAGAGUUCUCCCUCGCUGUCAGGAAUGUUUGAUACGGCCAUGUUUAUUCCGUGGCCGCCAUCCAUGGUAAACGUGCCAUCAGUUCUCAUGCAGGGAAAGCUGGCCCAGAGCUUCCUUACUGGCUGCCCAUUUUCUUAAAGUGACGUAGCGUCAUAGAGGAUACUCUAUUGCAAUCAAAAUGAUUUUUUGGAAUUAUAAAAGCAUGUGCAUUUUAGUGAAAUAACUACUGUUAAGAGUCUUUGGGGCUGUUGGCCUUAAGUCCCAUAUGCUCCUUUUCUUCACCUGUUUCUCACUUCCUCUGGGAAAAGUUUGCGAUGCUGAUAGGCUAACGGAUCAUGUCUUCCUUCAUCUUGGUACACGCGUGUGAUUAGGUCAUUCUUUGCAGGUGUGUGAUUUUACCAAUUCAUUAUUUCCUGGCUAUUCUUAUAAUACCAAUUCAUUAUUGGUAUUACCAUUCUGAUAAUACCAAUUCAUUAUUUCCUGGCUAUUCUUAUCAUAAGAUUACUAGAAUAAGUACCUUCAUUGUGUGUAAAAAAAAGACACAGUUCUGCCUUGAAAUAUCAUUUUUUGUCCAAGGCUCCGCUGGCUCUCCCAUUUCUGAGUUGGAUGGUUUUUAACGUGAAGUAUGUAGAAAGAUUAAAGUAUGGAAGAAUUCAAAUCUAAAAAUUUCCUGGUGGUCUCUUUGCUAAAAACCCUAGCAAAUAAUGACUUUUCCAAGCUUUACGUGUGUGUUAACCCAUCAGUUCCCGUAACCAUCCUAUGGUCAUUAUACCCAUUUUACAAGCAGGAAUAUCAAGACAUGAGAGGUAAAGUAACUUGCCCUUGGUGACACAGCUACUAAAUGCUGAUUCUGGGAUUCAAACCCGAGGGAAUUGGGCCCCGUACCUGCUCUCUUCACUCCUCCCCUUCAACACUGCUUCAACCGUGGGGUGAUAGAAUCCAUUUUAUUGCUUUUAAAGGACAUUUACCUAUUUAUUUAUUUAUUUGUGGUUUUUUUGCUUUUUAGGGCCACACCCACAGCAUUUGGAAGUUCCCGGGCUCAGGGUCCAAUCGGAGCUGCAGCUGCUGGCCUGUGCCACAGCCACAGCAGUGUGGGAUCCAAGCCAUGUCUGUGAUCUACAGCACAGCUCCGGGCAAUGCUAGAUCCUUAACCCACUGUUGGAGGCCUGGGAUCGAACCCACGUCCUCAUGGAUGCUAGUCAGGUUCGUUACUGCUGAGCCACAACGGGGAACUCCUGUGUACUCUUUUAAAUGAGCACAAAGUACAAGUAGACUGUUAUCUUCAGCCAGAGAGAGAAGGAAGAGCUUAUUUAGGUAGGCGUCUAAACACUAAGCAAGAAUUUGUUUCUCAUGCUCUAAUUGAAAGGCCUGGUGAGGGAGGCCCACACGACUUACUCCCCCUGGUGUUCAGAGAGGGAGCCUAUGGGGGACCGUAAUCAGACGAGGGAGAGCAGUCCCGGGAAGGCUUCAUUUCUUUUCUGUUCCUGAACUUGAGAAACGAAAAGCAGCCAGCAUGUGCUGCAGGAGUUUCUUUCCUCAUCUGUUUUUGCUCUCAAGGUUUGCAAGACGGUAGGAGCCAUUCAGCAUCCAGUUGCAACUCUUUAACAGCCAAAGUUAUUGAAAUUUCUAAUUUCCUAAAAUUUCUUCAGUCCCCCACCCCUUUCCCUUCUGCCACAUCCCUGGCCUUCUGCCAGGGAGUCUGGUUUUCCAUAAUUAGCGUGGUGGUUCGGAUAAUCUUCUUUCCCUGUUUUCUGCCCUGGCUGCUGGGCUUUUUUGUUCCCUGAACCUCCAUCACAGUUUUCCUUAUUACUGUCUGCUUGGAGUUUGAUAGCCAGCAUUCCAUGGAUUCCAAGAUCACCUUAAAUUUUCAAGUCAGCUUGAGCUUCAGUUGUUGGUAUUAGAUAAAACGGCAUUGGAACCCUCGUUUAAAGAGUAAUUCAGUCUUGGCUACCUGUGGCUCUCACUUAGGAAGCUUUAAAAAAUACCAUUGUUUGGGCCCCACCUCCAGAAAGUUUGAAUCAUUGAAUCAUUUCUUCUGGGGUGAAGCCCAGGCAUCAGCUUUUUCAUUUUUUUUUUUUUUUAACAUGAGGUCAUGGUUAAGAAACACUAAAUUACUCUUUGGGCUUAAAUUUGAAUACCAAGACCCUGAAAGCCCUUGGCUCAGAAAUAUAUUAAAUUCAUUUAAAUGGACAGUUGUAGUUCCUGUCUGUUUUAAGCUAUCUGUUAAAAUGUGAAAAGGGAUAGAGAUUUUUGCUGUACAGCAUGGUCACCCCCAGUCUGAAGGGAAAGGAUGAAGUUCAUGGCACUUUUGAAGUGACCCCCACCCCCAGGCACCUCUGGCCUCAUCCUUUGCAAGAGGCCAACAGGUUUCGGGGCUGAGAUGUUUCAGCUUAUCUCCAGCCCAGAGACAAACCAGGACAAUCACCUGAGGUCAUUUUCCUGUCAGUGCCUGGUACAUACUGGGUGUUCAAGAAAUCAAAAUUUGUGUGUGGCUUAGUACACAAUGCAGGGGCUGUUGUUACUGUGUGAGUUUGGAGAUGAAUCUGGUUACUCGUCUGUAAAAUAGAUGUAACGAUGCUGACCUUCCAGGAUUGUUUACAAAUUAAAGGGCAUAAUUUAUGCAAAAGUUCCCAAUCUACCUGUUACUGGAGCAUCCCAGUUCAGAGGGGGGAGUUUUUCUGUACCAACUCUCAUCACGGCGAUUUUGGCCGACAUCAUCAAUUUACCUUUCAGAGAUGUCAGUGAGUCCUCUCCCAUCUCCUAUCUUUAAGACACUAAAGACAGACAGCCACCAGGGGCUUUUGUGGUCUGUGUUUGCAGCACACAUGAGAAGACCAGGCAGGUUUCCUGGGCUUACCUCUGUUUAUUUACUGAAACUUGUUCCUGCCAGUGCUGCCACAGCGACCCCCCCCCCAUGCAUGCUUAUUGUCCAUCUCCUGUCUGGUCACCUCUCCUAGUUCUAUGUCCCCCCAGGAGGGUUAGCAUCUGUCAAUUUCCUUUGCUCCCAAGCCCUUCCCCAAGAUGUUUCAGCACCCAGGGGGAACUGAACAGUCUCCUCGAGGACUUGGCUAAGAAAUCUGCUUUUCAAGGGGCGAAAGAAGGAGGAGAGGACUGCAGAGAAAACCAGCAGCUUCUAUGCGGGCAGCCAGAGGGGCAGAACUGGAGAGAGGACAGUGCGAGCUCGGAGAAGGUCACAGCCUGCAAAGGGACAGACGUGGUGGUCAAGGCAUAGACUCAUGAAGUCACUUGUUGCACCUGAGACAUUUGAGAUGCUGUGCUGCAUGUUACUGCUUUGACAUGUCCUAUUUCUCUGACUUUUCUAGACAAAUCCUUUGUAGACAUCUCCUCUGCUCUUCAUUCUUUCCGCAAACUAUGAUGAAGCACCUAUCCCUGGCCAGACACUCUACUAGUGGUGAAGAAGCAGCAAGGACAGCCCUGGCUCAGGGAGUACAGUCUGGUGGGAGGAAGAAGAUAGUUAAACAGGCCUUGAAUAUUGAUCGAUUUAACCAGGGUAAAAAAGUCAUAUUAAAAUCAAAUAAAAGAUGAAAAGGCCAAACUUCAAAUGCCUUUUCUCUCAUGUCCCCUUUUUCCUUCUCACCUAGUGGGCAGGAGUUAAGAGCCUAGAUUUCUAAAUGAGGCUCUCUAUUUAAAUGGUGGGUUCACCACUACCUGUGUGACCUUGGGCUUUACUUCUCUGAAAAUGGAUAUAAUAAAAAUAGAGACUGGGAAUUCCCAUCACGGCGCAGCAGAAACGAAUCCGACUAGGAGCCAUGAAGUUGCGGGUUUGAUCCCUGGCCUCGCUCCGUGGGUCAAGGAUCCGGCGUUGCCGUAGGUCGGUGGCUACAGCUCCAAUUCGACCCCUAGCCUGGGAACCUCCACAUGCUGCGGGUGUGACUCUAAAAAGCAAAAAAA